UGCGGCUGUUCCCUGAGCAGGGCUUUGCGCAUGCUCUCUGAAGUAAAGGUGCUGACCUUUGGGCAGGGUUACUCCCGGGUCGAGUGAGGAAGUGCAAGGUGUAGGUGGCACUCUGGCUGGCCGUGUCCUCUCAGCGUGGCACACCCACUAGCUCCACAACGUCAGGAGCUGGACUAUGGUUUUACCCCAGUGCUGGGGCGUGCACACUGCCUGCACCCAAGGAGUGUCUUGGCGGGCGUGCCCUGCUGUUGCCGACCCUGAAAGGCUGACGUCUGCUGGCCAGGACAGGCACUACGCCUACCCGGUGGCCACCACCCCAGGACAGCAACGGAGGGAUGUCUUUCCAUUAGCCUAGAAGCCUCUGCCCCAUCUCUCAGAGCACCCUGGCUAGUGGGCCAAGGAGUGAUCAGUGUCUGGAGCACAGCGGGGACUCAACCGUGUACAAAGAGUGGGAAUGCGCUGCAGACCUCCUGCCUGGGUGGUCUCAACCUCAUCCAGCUUUUAUCAAGUAUUCCCCACCUAGCAACCCAUUAAGGACUUUUCCAGCCCCAAUUUUGCCACGCAACGGUUUCUGCAAUGCCUGGAAACAUGGAACGUGUGCUUUGAGAGUCUCCCUUUAAGGCAGUAACAGGCUAACAACAGAGACUUAAGAAAUGCUUCCUAGCAAUCAAAAUGCAUUAUGUCUAAAAGCGUCCCAUCAGAGGGAAACCAGGGAGGCGCCCAGAAGUGAAAGUGCUGGAUCAUAUGGUAAUUCUAUCUUUAAUUUUGGGGGGGAAACCACCCAUACUGUUUCCAUAGCAACCUCACGCAUUCUUGUGAGGAAAUGCCACCCCUACUUAAGCCAGACACAAAGUCCCCCAGGGAAUGAGAACUGGAGCCUUCUGGAGAUGGAACACCAUCUCCGGGUGGAAAAGAAGGGCUUGUGUUUUUCGAGUUUCACCUCUUGCUUCUCUGUCUCCUAACUCCCACCCUGAACAUGAAUAGCAUCCGUAUAUUUAUGCCAAAUUUCAAACCCACCAAGGCUGGGGCAGAGAAGAACCCGGACUCCCUUGGUGGCAUUGGAGGAGGGUAGAGGCCCAGAUAGUAAGUUGGGGUGCACAGCCCUCUGUCCACGUAAUAAAGACAUCGUGUGACCCUGGGGGGAUUUGGCAUCUGUCCUGAGGACUCAUCAGAUACCCAAGGAGAAUCAGGUUUACACAUUGAAGAAAAGUUCCCUUCAACCACUAUCUCCUUCCACCCUCGCAGCCCCUACUUCGCUUGGAGAGAGGACAGCUCCUCUUGGAGCAAAGAGUAAUUUAACCGAUUCCUGCCAUUACUUGAUGCCAUCUGCAGGGGGCAGCCUGGCACAGAGGAAAGUGAGGCUUUGGACUCCCAGAGACCUGGGUUUAAAUCCUUCCUCCACUGCCUACUGUUCGUGUGACUUUGGACAAGUUCCUCAAUUUCUUUGAGACUCAUCUCAGAGUCCUCAAGACCAACGAUGACCAUGUUGACCUUUUCCCUGCUGUAAAGAUGACAUGACAUGGAGGACGUACAGUUCCAAGCCCAGCACCCAGAACCUAGGGAUUCCAUGGGUAUCCCUGCCUUCCUUCCUCUCCUGUCCUUCCUCAGUGGUUGACUUUGAUCAUGUUCUGCCAGAGUCUCCUCUCUCCAGGCUUCCGUGGCCAGUCUUCAGAGGCCGUUUCUCACCAACAGUGGCUCCAUUUUUUAUUAUUCCUGGAUGGCCUCUUGGUCCCGGAUUAGCUCAGACACAUCUCUCUGGGGCCUCCCCAUCCACCGGGUGACAGGGGCGGGGCGUGAAACCACCCCCACCAGAGCUAACCCCAAAGCCAGGCGGUGCUCUCUGCUUUGCCAUCUCCUACGGCUGCAGAUUGUGCGACGAGAGGGCGGCCGGCCCAGGUGAACACAGCCUGCCCAGGCCCGGUUUCAUUUGGCUUUUGUCAGAUUGGGUUACAAGCUUAACGUUACUUAACUGAAGAGGACUU